rnacentral:lncRNA from 1 species
GGCUUCUAAGCCAUUUCAAUAGUUGUGUAAUUGUAUAUUGAUUUUGUAUAUUUGAUGUAUAUAGAGUGUAUAUAUAAUGGGCAGUGAUGAUAUAUGUUCUGGGCUCAUGUGUUGAGCCACUGACACUUAUGAGCCUAAUGGGUCAUAUCUGAGCCCGGGUCAUUUGACCCAAUAUCCGACCCAGUCCGGUCCAAUUCUUAUUUGUACAUAUGGUGUAGAGGAGAAGGUUCUACACAUCAGAUAUUUUCAUUUUCAUUUCCCAACAACCGACUCUUCGGUUCUCUCAAUCUCUCCUCCUUCUCUCUACUUUCUCUCUCUAGUUUCUC